AGACCCGAAACCCGGUGAUCUAGCCAUGGGCAGGUUGAAGGUUGGGUAACACUAACUGGAGGACCGAACCGACUAAUGUUGAAAAAUUAGCGGAUGACCUGUGGCUGGGGGUGAAAGGCCAAUCAAACCGGGAGAUAGCUGGUUCUCCCCGAAAGCUAUUUAGGUAGCGCCUCGUGAAUUCAUCUCCGGGGGUAGAGCACUGUUUCGGCUAGGGGGCCAUCCCGGCUUACCAACCCGAUGCAAACUGCGAAUACCGGAGAAUGUUAUCACGGGAGACACACGGCGGGUGCUAACGUCCGUCGUGAAGAGGGAAACAACCCAGACCGCCAGCUAAGGUCCCAAAGUCAUGGUUAAGUGGGAAACGAUGUGGGAAGGCCCAGACAGCCAGGAUGUUGGCUUAGAAGCAGCCAUCAUUUAAAGAAAGCGUAAUAGCUCACUGGUCGAGUCGGCCUGCGCGGAAGAUGUAACGGGGCUAAACCAUGCACCGAAGCUGCGGCAGCGACACUGUGUGUUGUU
rnacentral:rRNA from 3 species